rnacentral:rRNA from 1 species
CGGGUGCGUAACGCGUAUACAAUCUGCCUUUCACAUAGGGAUAGCCCGAAGAAAUUUGGAUUAAUACCUAAUGGUAUAUAGAUGUGGCAUCACAUUUAUAUUAAAGCUGAGGCGGUGAAAGAUGAGUAUGCGUUCUAUUAGCUAGUUGGAGAGGUAACGGCUCCCCAAGGCUACGAUAGAUAGGGGUUCUGAGAGGGAUAUCCCCCACACUGGUACUGAGAUACGGACCAG